rnacentral:rRNA from 1 species
CUUCAGUCAUACGAGACCGUACCGCAAACCGACACAGGUGGGCGAGAUGAGUAUUCUAAGGCGCUUGAGAGAACUCGGGAGAAGGAACUCGGCAAAUUGGUACCGUAACUUCGGGAAAAGGUACGCCCUUGUAGUUUGACCACUUUACUGUGGAAGGAUGAACGGGUUGCAAUAAACUGGUGGCUGCGACUGUUUAAUAAAAACACAGCACUCUGCAAACACGAAAGUGGACGUAUAGGGUGUGACGCCUGCCCGGUGCUGGAAGAUUAAAUGAUGGGGUGCAAGCUCUUGAUUGAAGUCCCAGUAAACGGCGGCCGUAACAAUAACGGUCCUAAGGUAGCGAAAUUCCUUGUCGGGUAAGUUCCGACCUGCACGAAUGGCGUAACGAUGGCCACACUGUCUCCUCCCGAGACUCAGCGAAGUUGAAAUGUUUGUGAUGAUGCAAUCUACCCGCGGCUAGACGGAAAGACCCCAUGAACCUUUACUGUAGCUUUGCAUUGGACUUUGAACCAAUCUGUGUAGGAUAGGUGGGAGGCUUAGAAGCGGUGACGCCAGUCAUCGUGGAGCCAACCUUGAAAUACCACCCUGGUUUGUUUGAGGUUCUAACCUUGGUCCGUUAUCCGGAUCGGGGACAGUGCAUGGUAGGCAGUUUGACUGGGGCGGUCUCCUCCUAAAGUGUAACGGAGGAGUUCGAAGGUACGCUAAUUACGGUCGGACAUCGUGAUGAUAGUGCAAUGGCAUAAGCGUGCUUAACUGCGAGACCGACAAGUCGAGCAGGUACGAAAGUAGGACAUAGUGAUCCGGUGGUUCUGUAUGGAAGGGCCAUCGCUCAACGGAUAAAAGGUACUCUGGGGAUAACAGGCUGAUUCCUCCCAAGAGUUCAUAUCGACGGGGGAGUUUGGCACCUCGAUGUCGGCUCAUCACAUCCUGGGGCUGUAGCCGGUCCCAAGGGUAUGGCUGUUCGCCAUUUAAAGUGGUACGUGAGCUGGGUUUAAAACGUCGUGAGACAGUUUGGUCCCUAUCUGCCGUGGGCGUUGGAAAUUUGAAGGGGGCUGCUCCUAGUACGAGAGGACCGGAGUGGACGAACCUCUGGUGUACCGGUUGUCACGCCAGUGGCAUUGCCGGGUAGCUAAGUUCGGAAGAGAUAACCGCUGAAAGCAUCUAAGCGGGAAACUCCCUUGAGAUGAGAUUUCCCAGAGCCUUGAGCUCUUUGAAGGGUCGUUCGAGACCAGGACGUUGAUAGGUCAGGUGUGGAAGUGAA